CGGCUGCUGUGAUGCUGGCAGCCACACACCUCUUUGGAAUAAGCACACAGCCUCCAAAGGGGCAUCUUUCAUUUGUGUGGAUUUGCUCUGAUGUGUUUGUUAAAAUCAGCCAACCACAUUCACUACUUUGCAGCCACUCCAUGUGUGUGUAUGCAUAGCCGUGGAGUGAGGAGACGGCAAGUGUUCCAGGGGCAGACGCCCAGGAGAAACCCAGAGAGAGGGGUGCAGAGACGCGGAGGAAGAAGCAGAGACAGGGAGAGAGUUAGCACAGCCAGCUCCGGGCCCAAACCCACCUGCCUUCUGGAUGUGGGCGAGCUCCUUGGUGACGGUGGCCGAGGUGCUGAGUCCACACAGGUUUUCUGAGAAGACCCGGAAGGAGUACGAGUUGCCGAUGAUGAGGUCUUCCACGCGCACAGUGAGCUCGUAGCGGCCAGAGUCGGAGCGCUGGGCCGAGCGAAUGAAGAGGAUGGAGUCCUGGUCCCCGGUGCGCAUGCUCACCCGCUGGCUGUCCAGGGCAUGGCCGUUGUGGGUCCAUGUGGCCUGAGGCUUAGGCUUCCCCUGGCAGGGAGGAGCCCCCAGGGAAGGGUGAAGCUCUCACUCCUGAGGUCUAGGGGCCCAAAUCCCUUAAGGGAGCAGGAGGUUUCAGGAGGUCAGCGCCUCCAUGGUGUGAACUGGUAAGCAUCCUGGGCACUCCCUUGGCGCCUCGACUCUGCCAGGAUGGGAUUUGUCCUGCAGCCCAGGCAUUCCCAAGCACCAGAUGGGCCCCAGCUGACUCUCUGUCUCCCCCUGCUGGGGAGCAGGUGCUGCACCUGUCAGGCUGCACUUCUAGGAAGGGGAGGCCACUGCCGUCUUCCUGCUCUAAUAUCCCCAGCUCUCCACAAGCCCAGGACUUUCAGAGAAGCCUUUGUGAAACCCUGUUUGUCCAUUCCUCUGUCUCCAGGCCCUAUUGAAAGGUUUAGGAUCUUUCUCUUCCCAAGUGAAGCCAGGGCGGGUAUCCCCCCUUCUUCCUCUGUCACCCUCCCAAAAUCUGUUAGUCUCAGAGCCGGGAAGUCCUUCUUGAAGUCCUAUUUCAGCUGCCUGCUAUGCUAAGGAAUGACAUUCUGACCCUCAUCUGGUCAGGGGCAACCACUGAAGCCCCUGGGCAUUCUAAGGGAAGCUGCAGUGGCCACCAUCCCUGUCCCCUGGGGUGGGUGCUGGGUCCAUGACUGAGGCUCCUCAGCAGCAAACAGGUGGCAGCAGUUGGUUGGUGGCAUGCAGGGCGGAGGAGGACAAGACAGUGAGAAGGAACACGGUGUCUCUGAGGAUUAGCUGAGUGGGCACUUGGCUCUGGGAGCUCAGGCAUGGAAUGCUCUAGGGACAGCUGCAGGGGGUCAAGAAUGCUUGGCAGCUCCAGGUGGCCAAGGAGAGACAGCUGAGCAGCCAAGGAUCCUGGACAGGGCCCCCACUCUGCCCUGUGAUAAGCCUGGCUGUUCCCCACUUGUUCACAGCCUCCUCUCCCUCUUCUCUCCAGGAAAUCCCCUUCUCUCCUGCCAGAGGAAUUUGAAUGGAGAAGUGGGUGCUGAGUCUGGCUGGGUCCAUCAAUGCUGGGCCUCAGGGGCCUCUCAGAGUCUGAGCUCCCUGGUUCCCUGGGGAAGGCCCAGCACCGUCCCAACCAAGAAGCCUUCCUGGCACCUCCAGGACUAGGGUCGACACAGCCAUAAUGCAGCUGCCUGGUGGGGCCACAUCUCACCUAGAGCCAAAGGCUGGGAAUUAGGGUUGGGAGGCUUGGGUUUUGGGUGCCACCAGAGAAGAUGCUCUGCAGUGCAGUGGGACAUGAGUGGUCCUGUGUAGGCAUCAGACUCUGGGACUGCCAAUAAAAGGCUGGGUGACCUCAAGGGAUGCCCUGGGCUCCUUGGGAUCUCCUUGGGCCUUGAUAAUCUAUGAAUCUAAGCUCCCUAACCCCAUGGUUCCCAUGUCUCUCAGGCCUCAGAGCUGAGCAUUUCCUUUCGAAUCCAGACUUGACCCCUCCUGUGGAUCCCCUCUCCUUCUGGAGGCCUUGUCUAGAGCUACCAGAAAUCAUCCAUCCCCUAGUGGAGGAGCAAGAAGGAAGGUGGAGAAGGCUUCAGGCCACCUGCCUGCCUGUGUCUCUCCUCACCCUGGGGGACUGUGCUGUCCCCAGAGACCUCAGAUCAGACCAAAUGACUCACUGUCAUUAACAGACUGAAACCCGAUCAGCUCCGGGAGGGGAGCGAGGGGAGGAUUGAGGCUAAUGCACCUUGCAAAUAGAAAUAUUAGCAAUGGGGAUGGCAGCUGGCCUGCGGGGCCCCAGUGAGGUAUGCCCUCUGCAAUGGAGAAGUCUUCAUGGGCCUUUUGCAGACCUUCUUUUUCUUUCCACUAGGGCCAUGGUGGAACAAGGGGCAAGCAGCGCCUUCUCUCUGUUUCAAGACCUUUGAGAGAAUCUGGAACCCAGGCCACAGGAAAUGGGCAGAAAAUGAGCAUUUAUGGCCACUGGAGAGAUUGAGAUUAGAUGGGAGAUAGAACAGAUGGACUCUUAGCAUUGAGCAGGUGACCCAGGGAACUUGACCUUUUGUUUCUGAGCCCCUUUCUCAAGGCGUGGGGGCUGGACCACUCAGGGAAAUGGCUUCUUAGACCUCCAGAGGCCCCUUACUGCUGAGGAACCUGGAACUUUCUUAAGGCAAGAUGGUGAUAGCGUGUGGCUUGUGCAUGUGAGCGUGGGACGGGGGAAAUGACUGCCUGGUUCCCUCUACCUGCUGGCCUCAGUUUCUCCAUUAGAUAAGGUGUUUGG
rnacentral:lncRNA from 1 species